rnacentral:rRNA from 1 species
AUGGUAUCAGUGGUAGGGGAGCGUUCUAAGUGCAGUGAAGUCAGACCGGAAGGACUGGUGGAGCGCUUAGAAGUGAGAAUGCCGGUAUGAGUAGCGAAAGACGGGUGAGAAUCCCGUCCACCGAAUGCCUAAGGUUUCCUGAGGAAGGCUCGUCCGCUCAGGGUUAGUCAGGACCUAAGCCGAGGCCGACAGGCGUAGGCGAUGGACAACAGGUUGAUAUUCCUGUACCACCUCUUUAUCGUUUGAGCAAUGGAGGGACGCAGAAGGAUAGAAGAAGCGUGCGAUUGGUUGUGCACGUCCAAGCAGUUAGGCUGAUAAGUAGGCAAAUCCGCUUAUC